ensembl:lncRNA
UAGGUGGGCUGCGUGUUUUUCCUUGUGUCCCAUUUUCAGUGGGACUGUGACAGCAAGCUGCAGGAUCCCAGGGCAGUCCUAUAGCUCAGGGAAUUGUAUUUGCUGUUCUAGGAACUGUGGCACUGCCUGAAACCAAUCCUCUGCUCUUCCCUCUGCUUUUUCCUUCUCCUUCCUUAGGAUCCUCUGGCUCCUCAUCAUAUUUUCACUCCUAGCUGGGUUCUGGGCCCUCUGCUCCUCUCGGCUGCCUGGGUGCCAACCUAUAUUCAGUCCCAUAAUUGUCCCUACCAGCCAAAAGAAGCAACCUCAGGAGAAAUUUGGCUCAAAACCUGGGAUGGAGUGUGCUUGCUAGACUGAAGGUUCUAGAAGGACCAAGAGACCCUGUGCAACAUAUUCUGCUGAAACUGCAGCUCACCAGGCCCAAGGAGAGUGGACAGGACACUGCUGGCAAUCUCUUUCCUUAUGACUGCAUGUGCAUAACUCCAGGAGAUCUGCUCAGUGUUGGCUCUUCUGUUGGCAGCAAAACCCCAUCUCCUCAGUGCUGUAAGAUGGAAUGACUGAAGAUCUUUGCUGUAUUAAGCACCUUCCACCUGAACAUCUGCCAGCUUUGCACAAGGUGUCUGCUCUGGAGCCAUUUACUGAAAGUGCCCCAAUGGCUGAAGAAAAGCCCAAGUAUAACUGCACUGUCAGUGAAGUCACGAUUGUGAACCUGCAGCCUGAUAAAAAUCCAGUUCUCCUCUUGCCAGGAGGGAAGCCAGGAAGUGAACAUAGAAACCUUGGUUUCCAGCCUCCUUCUCCAAGGAUUUCAGAGAAGAGGCUAUGCCAAGGAGAGAAAAAAUUGUGGCCAGAAAAGAUGAAAAAGGAGGGAGUUUUGUCUCCCAGCCUGCAUCAUGCAAGUGAGUUGUGCAGCACAGAGAAUGUUAGCCUGAAGAGGCCAGUGAAGUUGGCCCCUCUGGAGAUCCCUGUGGAAGUAAAAGAAGCCCAGCUCCAAAAGAUUAUGAGCAUCCAGAGAGAAGCCCAAAUGGCUGCCCAGAAGCUGAUGGUGAUCAACUCCGUGCGGAAUGAGCCCCAUGUGAAACGGGUAAAGAAUCUGGCACAGGGGGAGCUGGGAAACCUUCAACAGAUCAAGCUGAGUGAGAAGGCUGCUCUGGAGAGCAAAGAUGAUCCCCUACCCCCUAAAAGCAGCAAACCCCUUGGAGAAAUCCAAAUUAUUUUGCCUUCAGAGACAACCUCUAAGUCGACUAAACAAGCAGGUGCUGAGGAGGCUCCCAAGACACUCUGUAAGCCAUUAAUCCCCACUCUCCACGUGUCUGACAUGCAUGGAGAGUCCAACAGCCCCGAGAGCAUCCCUGAUCCCUGCCAAAAUGUUUCUCGGCGCCGAUUCAGAUUAAGACACACGAAAGAGCAGCAGGAAGACCACGGGAAAGCCAAACCCUUAAAGGCCACAGAUCCAAGUGUGGGAGAAGGCACGAAGAAAACUGCAGGUCAGCGGACACAAAAAACCCUCAGUGACGCCAGCAAGCUCAUUGAAAAUGUAUCCAAAAAGCAGAAGGAACGAGGAGCAAAGCAAAGGGAAAUAGAUGAAGCCUCUCUUGGGAGGAGGCAGUCCAUUCGAAGGAUGGCCUUGGGAGACAUCAUACAGGUGGAUGAUGACUGA